GCGCAUCGGCAACAGUCAUCGCCCACACCAGCACCACUCAAUUAUUCGCGGCACGCUGUGGAAUCAUUUACCCAAUCAUUUAGUUACAUCAACGCAACGCAACGCAACGCGCGGACCGCCUGCACGGUCAGUUUCGCGGGUUCCACCACUACCACCGUCACUACCACCAUCGACAUUGGCAUCACCCUUUUCCUUUUACUACCUGCUACUACUACUACUACUACUAUUACUACUACUGCUACUACUACUGCUGCUACUACUAUUACUACCCUCCACCACCGACCUAACUCUCUCCGCCUGACUGACUGUGUUUUCGGUGAAGCGCGAGGAGGACAACGGGAAUUACAGAGAAAGAGAGAAAGAGAUAGACGACUACGAAGAGGGUACGUGGCUUUGUCGGGGGUUGAAGAGGGGGUUGAGGUCGCAUACCGAGGCUAUUGUAUUUCGCCACGUGGGACCCGUUCUUUGUCAGAGUAUGUGUAUCUCUCUCUCUCUCUCUCUCUCUCUCUCUCUCUCUCUCUCAAUUUUCAUCUUCCUCUCUCUCAGAGCCUGGCUCGGCUUUGGGUGUAUCGUUACCCUGUUGAUUUUCCGAUGUAUCGUUGUGAUGACGAUAUAAUAGCGCUCGCCGAUGCUUUACGAACGGAUUUACUUUGUUGAUAUCUCCCCACCGAUGUCAUCCUGUCGUUUUUCCCAUGCCGAUCGAGAUCAGUCAAACGGGACCGGGAGUUCUUUAAAAGUCCAAUGAUUUUUCAUUUAUCAUCUUGGAGAUUUCGUCGUUAGACGGUUCGCGUAUUUAAGUAAUAUUCGAUCGGACAUUAUUAUCUCGUUGUUCAUCAAUUCCAAUAUACUUUUCGUUAAACCGUAUUCGUAAUUUGUUCAAUAUUUUUGUUUUCCUUUAAGUUUAGCCAAAAAUAUGAGCAAUAGUUAGAACGAACAGGAAAGAAAGUUGUUGUAGUUUAGUUGUAAAAACAAACAAAAAUCCUAACUCUGUCAUUCAGUAAAAAUCCAAGAUGAUUUAUGGGAAAACCAAGAUGAUACUACGGUGAUCUCGUAUAAUCAAGGUAAGACAUUAACGAACAAUAAAUCUCGAUCUCCAUCGAAAGCUUUAAUAGCAGGCACGAAAUUCGAUCGCCGAAGAAAAGCAAUCGAACGGCAUUCUAUGGCGGAACGACAAAGUCGUUUUGCAAAGUGUAGCAUCAGCGAUUCCUCCAUCAUAGGGGCCAAUCGUAGCGGACUUCCAUCCCCACGGCGGAUCCGGAUACAUCCUGGAAAAGAGGAAAAAAAUCCAUCGGCGUGGGUGGUACCGGGCGGGUGGUAUAUUGCAGAUCAAUACAAUUGCACGUUAGUGCUAAUAAAUAAUAGGCGGUGGGAGCAGAAAAAAGCGCGCAAUGCAGCAACGAACGCAACACACAAAUAAUACGCAAUACAUCAACCAAGCCGUGUAGAGUCGUCGUUCCAUCUUGGACAAUGGCCAAGCUCCUGAUUACCGUGAUCCUUAAUGGAAAUGUCCAAUCUAAAGGGUGAAAGAUCGUAGGCGCCGAAAGUUCGCUUUCAAUUUUUCCACGCGCAUAGGACUUCCCUUUUCGGUAAAGGGACACGAGUUUUGUCUUCGACGAGAUGUUCGUUUCAGAGGAAAAAAAAGAGGAAGAUGAUGAAGGAGAAGAAGAAGAAGAUGAAUACUUUCCAGAAACGGCGUGCCAGUGACCUAGAUAGAUUCUUGGAAUCGGCUUGAGUCCACGCUUGCGGCCUUGCCCGGAAUGCGGACAAAAAACUGUCGCCUGGGGCCACUUUAGAGGCAGGUUUGGGACGAGGAACUUCUUCACAAUCGACGUCAUUAACGUUUACGUUCUAGAGACGAAAGGACGAUGAAGGGAGUAGGUGGAUGGAUGGUCAAGGAAGGAAGGUCGGAAGGUAGACAGGAAGGGAGAAAGGAAGAAGAAGAAGAAGAAGAAGAAGAAGAAAGGUAAAGUCCUGUAGGACGACUAGGACGAAGAGGAAGAAGACGACGAUGGUGGUAGCCAGUGACGAUUCUCGUCUCCAAUGAACAUUAUUACGAGACGAGCUGAACCAUAGAUAAACUCCUAGUCGACGAGAUCUCGAGUUCACUGUGAAGCAAUAUGAAACUCCUCGAUCUAAUAUGGCUUGAGGCGGCGACGAAGCAUGACGUCACAUCCGUCCCGUCCGAUGGUCAUCUUGAAUAUUGAGUCGACCGCCGUCGGACCGGAAGUUAUGAGAUUCGGAUUUCGAUCCCACGUUCUCCCUAUUCGCACGCGAUAACCUUUGCGUACAUACAUUCAUAUAUAUAUAUAUAUAUAUUAUAUAAAGUACAUAUAUAAAAUAUAUGUAUA